rnacentral:rRNA from 1 species
AACGAACGCUGGCGGCGCGCCUAACACAUGCAAGUCGAGCGCAGGGUUUCGGCCCUGAGCGGCGCACGGGUGAGUAACGCGUGGGAACCUGCCCUGGGGUUCGGGACAACGGCUGGAAACGGCCGCUGACACCGGAUACGGCCUACCGCAAGGGAGGCGAAAGUUCACGCCCUGGGAUGGGCCCGCGUCCGAUUAGCUGGUUGGUGGGGUAACGGCCCACCAAGGCUGCGAUCGGUAGCCGGUCUGAGAGGAUGAUCGGCCACACUGGGACUGAGACGCGGCCCAGACUCCUACGGGAGGCAGCAGUGGGGAAUCUUGGACAAUGGGGGCAACCCUGAUCCAGCGACGCCGCGUGGGUGACGAAGGCCUUCGGGUUGUAAAGCCCUUUUGCCGGGGACGAUGAUGACGGUACCCGGAAAACAAGCACCGGCUAACUCCGUGCCAGCCGCCGCCGUAA